GCUAGUAAUCGCGGAUCAGCAUGCCGCGGUGAAUACGUUCCCGGGCCUUGUACACACCGCCCGUCACACCAUGAGAGUCGGGAACACCCGAAGUCCGUAGCCUAACCAAUCUGGAGGGCGCGGCCGAAGGUGGGUUCGAUAAUUGGGGUGAAGUCGUAACAAGGUAUC
rnacentral:rRNA from 1 species